rnacentral:misc_RNA from 1 species
CCGAGUUCUUCUACUCAAAACCUUUGCAAACCUACCUAGAGAUGCUUCGGCGGUCGUCCCCCGGGGGGGAACUACAACGGCCGCCGACGGCACCCAAAAUCUCUGUCAGUGUAUUCUGAAUAUCAAUACAAAAAACAAGUCA